CUCAUUUCUAUUUUCUUCUUCUUCCCUCUUCUUCUGCUCCUCUUUUCCCCGUUCUUCUUCUGGUGAGAGUUUGAGAAUCAAAAGUGAGGAUUUUGAGAUCGAAUCAAGAGUAGAAAGAUCAAGGAAGGGUUGCAGGUAGUGGUGAUUUUGUUGUGGUAAGUUCUAAGUUAAAAGAAGUGACGGGUUAGAGAAGAUUCAGUUAGGAUUUCUGUAAAUGGAAUUGGAAUUCGGUUCGAGUUCGAGUUCUUAGGUGAAUUUGUGGGUUAAUUUGGCUGCUGUUAGUUGAAGAUUGGAAGGGUUGAGGUUUGAUUGAACCUGUAGAGUUGUUUUAGGAUUGAAUCAGUAGUUAGGGUUUCAUAAGAAGAGACUCAGAGAAGAUUUAGAAGAUGUAUUGAUGUUCUGGUGAGAUGAUUUGAGAUGGGUAUUGAUCAAUUGAAUGAAUUAGAGUUAAGGAUGAGGAGUAAUUCGAGAUAAAAGAAUGAUUAGGGUUUCUGUUCUUCCGAAAAAAACUGAAAUCAGGUCUUCAGUGGAAUUGAUUCGGCGUAUUAGUAAUUCAAGGGAUGCUAAAGUUUGGGUAAGCUUCUAAUUAUUCUAAUUUUGAGAUUUUAAGUUGGAUUGUGUAAAUUAUUGAGAUCAAGUAAUCAUGAAUGAGAUUAAAAUUGAGGCGUGUUGAUGAUAUAAGCCUUGAGCAGGGAAAGGUUGAAUUGUUGUUGUUGAGGUAUUAGGAGAUGAUAGGGAAAAAGGGAUUGAGUUUGCAGCAGAGUUGUUCAACCUGUGACCGAGUUGAACUGAACUUUGAGGUAAUGAAAUUGAACUGGUGGUAUUUUCUGUGUAGUAGAAUUUGCAGAUGAAGAUGCAUGUGUUCUAUUUUAGAAUGGAUGAGUGUUGAGAUAUUGUUGAUGAAUAGAGUUUGUGAGUAGUGGGUAUAAAUCGAGUUAGGUUGAUGAUUUCAGAUGGGAACAAGGAUUAAAUGACAGUUAUGGUGGUGGUAUAGGUAUGUAAUGGUUUGAGAAUGAAUAUCUCAGUUAAAUGAAGUGAAUUGGUAGUGGUGAUGGUGUUGCAGUUCAUGUAGUCGGCAGUGUCACUAAAAUGGGUGUAUGAACUGUUGUAGGUGUAAGGAGAAUGAAAAUUGGCAGGGUAAUGAAGUUGUGGUUUUACGACUGAACCUAGAACAAGGUAAUGAAGAUUGUUGAGUUGUUAAUAGCUUUGAGGUGAAUGUGGAACAGAAUGGAAAUGAUAUUGAAGUUAAGGAAUGUGUUGUAAUGCUGGGAAAGGUGAUGAGUGUGUUUAAGAUGAGAUGAGCUGUGUAUUGCUUAGUGCUGCAAUUGCAGUUAGUCUAUAUUAACAACGAUCGAUUCAAAGGAUGAACCAGUGGAUUGUGGAUCUCGAGGUAGGCGUGGCUGGUCAUCAAAAGAGUUUCAGAGACAGAUCAAGAUGUGCACAUGACGAUGAAAGCUUCGAAGAAUUACUUACGUUAGUUAGCUAGUUUUUCUAUGUUUAUUCUGUGUUUGUAUUUUAUUUGUAAAUCAACUCACUAUUGAAUAUGUAUCAUUUGAGAGGAGUUCUUGUAUAUAAAUUUUUAAGUGGGGCUAGUUUUUUGUUUAAGUUUUGUAGCAGAUUUCUUAAUUGAAUGUU